ensembl:ncRNA F40B5.6 ncRNA
UGAGCUGGACUUUGUUGUCUUAUCAUAGACGUUAUCAUUGAAGCGGUCAUGCCCUCCUC